rnacentral:lncRNA from 1 species
GUUUUAGAUGUUUGAGUCCCACAGGGAGAGAUCACCACUUGGUCUCUCCCCGGAUGUGUACUCCUUUGGUAUGGUUCCGUUAGCUUGUUAAUCGGGCCGGUUUGCUUUGUUUUGUUAUCAAAUCUAUACAAGUAAGUAUUUCAUCCGUCUCUAAUCUUCCUGUCUAUGAACAUAAUCAUGAUAAUCACGGUUUCGGUCACGAAAACGGUCCUACAAUUGGUAUCAGAGCUUUGGCUCUAAUCCUUGUUUAAAACCAAACCUAGUUCGGUUUUUAUCAAGCCUGAAACUGAUUGUUUAUGAUUUUCUGAAAAAGUGUUCUUGAAAGUUUAUAUAUUUUCUAAAAAAGUCACUAAAAUCAGUGUUUAUCUUGUUUGUUUUGCCAAAGUUUUGCCAAAAACCUUGUUAGUGUGCAUCAUUACAUAGUAUUACCGGGUUUUUAGUAAAAGUUUUAAGCGAAUUCGGGUUUCAGAAAAUUGUUCGGUGACCGGAAUCUUCAAACCUUCAUCGUGUUUUUCACUAAUAUUCAAAGUGUUCUUCAUUAUUUCAACUUUUUGAUCUUUUGUAAGUUCACUUUAUUAGUUGUUGGUGCUUUUAAAAUCAAAAUGGAAAAGGAAAUUUGAUUAAAAUAAUUUUAAGAUAAAUAUGGUAGGUUGAAUUUUGGUGCAUUGUGUCAGAACAGGAUAAGUUUCUUUGAAAGAUCAAACCAAACUCACCAACUCCCACCCUUAUCCAAAUCAGUUUCGUCAUAAGCAAACAAACCUUUUCAGUUUCGUCGGAAUACUUAUCAGUUUCGUCGCUUACACUUCCAUCUGUUCCGUCGCACAAUAACAUUCCAGUUUCGUCGCUUACACUUCAAUCCGUUUCGUCGAGCAAUUAAUUAAAUCAGUUUGGUCGUUAUCAAACAGAUUUCAAAUCUGUUUCGUCAAUCAAACCGUUUCGUCGGACCUUUCUUAUUUCAUCAAUCAAACAGUUUCGUCGGACCUUUCAGUUUCGUCGACCAAACAGGUCAUCACUUUCGUCGAUUAUCAUUCUUACAUUCAGUUUCGUCAAACUCAAUCAUCAUUCAGUUUCGUCGAACUCAAUCAUCAUUCAGUUUCGUCGAACUAAAUCACUUUCAGUUUCGUCGCACACAAAAACAAAUCAGAGUUUCGUCGUUUAUCUGAUGAGUUUCGUCGUUUAUCUGAUGAGUGUCGUUGAUCAUUCAAAAAAAUUAAAAAUAAUACAAGGAAAGGUUUUGGAGGUUGUGUAUUGAAACGAAGAGAAGAGACAAAGUGAAGAUGGAAGUGGCCUGGCAUCGAAGAAGACAAAGUUUGGCAGCUGUAAAAGGGAGAUGUCGACAUAAUCUUGUGGGAUACCACAUUUGGGCCAUUGAAAUCACAUGACAUCAGUUACUCCCAUGUGCAUUUGAAGAUUAUUGGACAAAGGAUUGGUCCAAUCAGAUUUUCUAUAAGUGGUGGUCAGUGAUAAAGGUCCAGUAACAUUUUGGUCUAAUUAAAAAAAAAAAUUUAGAUAGAGUUGUCGGCUGGAGUGUGUUUGUCUAGGUUUUGCUUGAAAAGUGUUUGGUGGCAAUGUUUUGUCAACAGACUUUUUGAAUGAUGGGCCAAAGAUUGGAUCAAGAAUAUUU